GAUGAACGCUGGCGGCGUGCCUAAUACAUGCAAGUCGAGCGAACGGACGAGAAGCUUGCUUCUCUGAUGUUAGCGGCGGACGGGUGAGUAACACGUGGAUAACCUACCUAUAAGACUGGGAUAACUUCGGGAAACCGUAGCUAAUACCGGAUAAUAUUUUGAACCGCAUGGUUCAAAAGUGAAAGACGGUCUUGCUGUCACUUAUAGAUGGAUCCGCGCUGCAUUAGCUAGUUGGUAAGGUAACGGCUUACCAAGGCAACGAUGCAUAGCCGACCUGAGAGGGUGUUCGGCCACACUGGAACUGAGACACGGUCCAGACUCCUACGGGAGGCAGCAGUAGGGAAUCUUCCGCAAUGGGCGAAAGCCUGACGGAGCAACGCCGCGUGAGUGAUGAAGGUCUUCGGAUCGUAAAACUCUGUUAUUAGGGAAGAACAUAUGUGUAAGUAACUGUGCACAUCUUGACGGUACCUAAUCAGAGAGCCACGGCUAACUACGUG
rnacentral:rRNA from 1 species